rnacentral:lncRNA from 1 species
AGUUCAACAAAAUGAUAGCAUCAGUACAACCGCUCGAAUUUAUCCGUUCAACAAUAGUAAAACGAUGGCGUGAUGAACUGCUAAAAAGAAUAAUAUCCCCUCGUAAAAAUACAAUCAGCCCCCUAUGAUUUUACAGUCAUAUCCUUGCAAUUGACCCCCCUCAUAAAAGUACAAUCAUCCCUGUGUACAAAUACAGCCAGCCCCUGAUAAAAAAUGAAACCUCAUUCAGUGCACUAGUGAAAUACAAGGGAGCGUGGCCAUGCAGACUGCAUAGCGGAUCACCGAGAGAAAAGGAGAUUGCGCCGGUAGUGUGAGGUGGACUGCACGAUGGGGAGCUCUGUCUCGGCUGAACUAAACUGCAAACAACUUGUAGAACCUAUAAACAACAAACAAACAACUUAAAUUGAGUUGGAGAAAAAAGCAAUGAGAAGGCGUCCACAAUGAGUUACAAAAUGCAACAGCAUCCACAGCAAUCCAACAAACUGCAACGGAACAACAAAUUAAUUGAACUAUAAGCAGCAAGUGACAGCGGAUCCGUGCCUCGACGGAGUGGAGGCCAAUAACAGAGGAUCCAUGACAUGUUGUCCAUGGCGAAGGUGAACUUCACAAAAAAAUUGCAUAACCAAAACAUCGCUAGCUAGCGACAGACACACAAGAAAGAGGUCAAGACAAGGAACUAUACCUUUUGUGAAGGAAGCUUGCUCAAACUCAGCCUUCUCGUUGCUAAAUCGUUCACUCUAUUAUAGGCAAUUCUUAGCUUCUUGUUUGAGCUUCCCAACUGAUUUUGUCUUCUUGACAACCUCUUCCUAAAUAAGAAAGCUAACACCUUGGUAAAUUCAGAAACUCUGUCUACAAUAUAGGCUUAAUCAAGUACAGCCAUAUCCUGACAAACAAUUUAUCACACAAUCAUGGCUAUAUAUGUACUUAAAAAUAGUAUUGUAUGACUAGAUCCAGAAGAUGCGGACAAACAUCGCAAGUGAGGUACCAGCAAACUCAUACCCAGCAUAUGCCACGAUAUCCAGCAAUGACGAUUCACCACUUCCCAGUGAAAAAAUAAAGCUUCAAUGAGAAUGACUUGCAUAAACCAACCAAGUAACCCUCUUGUGAACUGUAUAGUCAGAGCCCAUGGGGUAAACCUGAA